GCCAGGCGUGGUGGCUCACGCCUGUAAUCCCAGCAUUUUGGGAGGCAGAGGCGGGUGGAUCACCUGAGGUCAGGAGUUUGAGACCAGCCUGACCAACAUGGUGAAACCCCGUCUCUA
ensembl:misc_RNA Metazoa_SRP Metazoan signal recognition particle RNA